rnacentral:rRNA from 1 species
UACAUGUGGGGCAAGCGUUGUUCGGAAGUUACUGGGCAUAAAGGGUGCGUAGGCGGCUUGUUAAGUCACUGGUGAAGUUUUCGGCCCAACCGGAAAAUUGCCUGUGAUACUGGCGAGCUCGAGUGCGUGAGGGGUAGGGGGAACGAGCAGUAUAGCGGUGAAAUGCGUAGAUAUUGCUCGGAAGGCCGGGAGCCCGAAGGGGGCCCCUACUGGUACCGUAACUGAC